rnacentral:rRNA from 1 species
GAAUUCGCCCUUAGAGUUUGAUCCUGGCUCAGGACGAACGCUGGCGGCGCGCCUAACACAUGCAAGUCGAACGGAGUUUGAGAGAGCUUGCUUUUUCAAACUUAGUGGCGAACGGGUGAGUAACGCGUGAGUAACCUGCCCUGGAGUGGGGGACAACAGUUGGAAACGACUGCUAAUACCGCAUAAGCCCACAGUGCCGCAUGGCACAGCGGGAAAAGGAUUUAUUCGCUUUAGGAUGGACUCGCGUCCAAUUAGCUAGUUAGUGAGGUAACGGCCCACCAAGGCGACGAUUGGUAGCCGGACUGAGAGGUUGAACGGCCACAUUGGGACUGAGACACGGCCCAGACUCCUACGGGAGGCAGCAGUGGGGGAUAUUGCACAAUGGGGGAAACCCUGAUGCAGCGACGCCGCGUGGAGGAAGAAGGUUUUCGGAUUGUAAACUCCUGUCGUUAGGGACGAUAAUGACGGUACCUAACAAGAAAGCACCGGCUAACUACGUGCCAGCAGCCGCGGUAAAACGUAGGGUGCAAGCGUUGUCCGGAAUUACUGGGUGUAAAGGGAGCGCAGGCGGACCGGCAAGUUGGAAGUGAAAACUAUGGGCUCAACCCAUAAAUUGCUUUCAAAACUGCUGGCCUUGAGUAGUGCAGAGGUAGGUGGAAUUCCCGGUGUAGCGGUGGAAUGCGUAGAUACCGGGAGGAACACCAGUGGCGAAGGCGACCUACUGGGCACCAACUGACGCUGAGGCUCGAAAGCAUGGGUAGCAAACAGGAUUAGAUACCCUGGUAGUCCAUGCCGUAAACGAUGAUUACUAGGUG